AUUGAACGCUGGCGGCAUGCUUUACACAUGCAAGUCGAACGGUAACAGGCCGCAAGGUGCUGACGAGUGGCGAACGGGUGAGUAAUGCAUCGGAACGUGCCCAGUCGUGGGGGAUAACGCAGCGAAAGUUGCGCUAAUACCGCAUACGAUCUAUGGAUGAAAGCGGGGGACCGUAAGGCCUCGCGCGAUUGGAGCGGCCGAUGUCAGAUUAGGUAGUUGGUGGGGUAAAGGCUCGCCAAGCCGACGAUAUGUAGCUGGUCUGAGAGGACGACAAGCAACACGGGGCAGGAGACACGGCCCAGAAUCCGCCGGGAGGCAGCAGUGGGGAAUUUUGGACAAUGGGCGCAAGCCUGAUCCAGCAAUGCCGCGUGCAGGAAGAAGGCCUUCGGGUUGUAAACUGCUUUUGUACGGAACGAAACGGUCCUGGUUAAUACCCGGGGCUAAUGACGGUACCGUAAGAAUAAGCACCGGCUAACUACGUGCCAGCAGCCGCCGUAAGAC
rnacentral:rRNA from 1 species